rnacentral:rRNA from 1 species
GACGAACGCUGGCGGCGUGCUUAACACAUGCAAGUCGAACGGGCCCGCCCCUGUUUUUGGGGGUGGGUUGAGUGGCGAACGGGUGAGUAUCACGUGAGUAACCUGCCCCCUGCUCCUGGAUAACUGCUUGAAAGGGCGGCUAAUACGGGGUGUGCCGGCUGGUCCGCAUGGGCCUGGUCGGGAUAGUUUCAUCUUCGGGUGUUUCGGUGGGGGAUGGGCUCGCGGCCUAUCAGCUUGUUGGUGGGGUGAUGGCCCACCAAGGCGGUGACGGGUAGCCGGCCUGAGAGGGUGGGCGGCCACACUGGGACUGAGACACGGCCCAGACUCCUGCGGGAGGCAGCAGUGGGGGGUAUUGCGCAAUGGGCGGAAGCCUGAUGCAGCGACGUCGCGUGAGGGAUGGAGGCCUUCGGGUUGUGAACCUCUUUCUCCGGUGGUGAAGGCCCUGUCCGUUGCGGCGGGGUUGACGGUAGCCGGGGAUGAAGCGCCGGCUAACUACGUG